AUUAUAUUGCUUGCAGUGUAUUAUUGUUUCUAUUUUCCUUUCUUGAUACAUGUAAUAAAAAAUUAUAUUUUUUGCAUUUUAUGCUAUUGGAAAGUGAUAUGAAUUGAUGUCAACCAAAAUUGACUUGACCAAACUUUCGUCUUUUGAUUUAUGUAUAUAUAUGUAUAUUUAGUUUAUUAUUUUUAUGAUACUUUUGUUAUUUUAAACAUAUAUACACUGAACUACUUUACCUGUUGAGACAACAGGAGUUUAUAGAAAAAUGCACAUGACGAAUACAGCUACCUGCCAUGGAUACAGGCUUGCUUAACGACUAAUUAUUCAUAUUUAUAGUGCCUAAAUUUGAACAUUUUACCCACAACAAAAUUGAUUAUAAAGUUUAUUCAUGCUUCCUUAUAUAAAAAUAUGCUUGAUUUAUAACUUGAUAUGUUGUUUUAUUGUUUUUGAUUAUUAUGUUUGAUUUUGAUUUCUUUUGAUAGCCAACUUUUGUAUGUAAAGGCCUUCACUGUUACAUUGAUUUGUUUAAUCCUAAUAUCAGUGGUUCAAAACAUCUUUUUGAAAAGAACAUGUUAGCUUUGUUUAAAGUUAUUAUUUCCAUAAGCUUGUAAAAUUGGCUAUCACAUGCCAUCAUGUAAUAUAACAUGUUCUAAUCUUAUGAUCAACGACAGACCAAGCUUAUGACCAAUAUUUCAUUCAUUAUUAAAAUGAAUUCAGGCAAUGAAACUACUUGCUUUAAACAAAUAAUUAACACAUUAAUCCUUUAUUAAGAAGUGUCUUGAAAUAAAAAAAAUUGAUAUCUGUAUGAAUGUUACAUUGUGUCUUUAAUACUUUGGUUUUAAUAUAUGUUUAUAUAUUCAAAAUAGAAAUAUUGUUAUUGUAAAUGCUUUUUAUUUUAUGAUUUGACAUGGUUAUGCUUUCUUAUAUGAGCUAAAGGUAUAAUUACACAUUAAUAAACCAAAAUUAUUUCUGUCUUGAAAAGAAUAUUAAUGAUUACAUUUCUAUACAUUUUGUUUUCACUCGAUGAAAUAUGAAAAUCAUGAUUAAUUACUGUUAAAAUUUAUAACGGAAACUAAAUUCAGAUAUACAUUCGAUUAAUUGUCACUUCUAUGAUAUAUAUAUUAUAUAUUUC
rnacentral:lncRNA from 1 species